UAGGGAAUCUUCGGCAAUGGGGGGAACCCUGACCGAGCAACGCCGCGUGAGUGAAGAAGGUUUUCGGAUCGUAAAGCUCUGUUGUUAAGGAAGAACGAGUGUGAGAAUGGAAAGUUCAUACUGUGACGGUACUUAACCAGAAAGGGACGGCUAACUACGUGCCAGCAGCCGCGGUAAUACGUAGGUCCCGAGCGUUGUCCGGAUUUAUUGGGCGUAAAGCGAGCGCAGGCGGUUAGAUAAGUCUGAAGUUAAAGGCAGUGGCUCAACCAUUGUAGGCUUUGGAAACUGUUUAACUUGAGUGCAGAAGGGGAGAGUGGAAUUCCAUGUGUAGCGGUGAAAUGCGUAGAUAUAUGGAGGUACACCGGUGGCGAAAGCGGCUCUCUGGUCUGUAACUGACGCUGAGGCUCGAAAGCGUGGGGAGCGAACAGG
rnacentral:rRNA from 1 species